rnacentral:rRNA from 1 species
AGCACCGGCUAACUCCGUGCCAGCAGCCGCGGUAAUACGGAGGGUGCGAGCGUUAAUCGGAAUUACUGGGCGUAAAGCGCAUGCAGGUGGUUUGUUAAGUCAGAUGUGAAAGCCCGGGGCUCAACCUCGGAAUUGCAUUUGAAACUGGCAGACUAGAGUACUGUAGAGGGGGGUAGAAUUUCAGGUGUAGCGGUGAAAUGCGUAGAGAUCUGAAGGAAUACCGGUGGCGAAGGCGGCCCCCUGGACAGAUACUGACACUCAGAUGCGAAAGCGUGGGGAGCAAACAGGAUUAGAUACCCUGGUAGUCCACGCCGUAAACGAUGUCUACUUGGAGGUUGUGGCCUUGAGCCGUGGCUUUCGGAGCUAACGCGUUAAGUAGACCGCCUGGGGAGUACGGUCGCAAGAUUAAAACUCAAAUGAAUUGACGGGGGCCCGCACAAGCGGUGGAGCAUGUGGUUUAAUUCGAUGCAACGCGAAGAACCUUACCUACUCUUGACAUCCAGAGAACUUUCCAGAGAUGGAUUGGUGCCUUCGGGAGCUCUGAG